AUUGAACGCUGGCGGCAGGCCUAACACAUGCAAGUCGGGCGAGGGGCGGACGGGUGAGUAAUGUAUGGGGAUCUGCCUGAUGGCUGGGGAUAACUACUGGAAACGGUAGCUAAUCCCGCAAACCAUCAGAUGAACCAAGAUGGGAUUAGCUUGUAGGUGAGGUAACGGCUCACCUAGGCGACGAUCCAUAGCUGGUCGGAGAGGAUGAUCAGCCACACUGGGACUGAGACACGGCCCAGACUCCUACGGGAUGCAGCAGUGGGGAAUAUUGCACAAUGGGUGCAAGCCUGAUGCAGCAAUGCCGCGUGUAUGAAGAAGGCCUUCGGGUUGUAAAGUACUUUCAGUCGGGAGGCGUUACCGACAGAGGAAGCACCGGCUAACUCCGUGCCAGCAGCCGCGGUAAUAC
rnacentral:rRNA from 1 species